UGGAAAUAAUCGAUUACUGAUUUUUUCUUAUUCGCAUUUGGUUUCAAAAUGAAAUUGACGUUUUUUUAAUUUUCAAAAAUGAUUUUUGUUUUUACUGGAUUUUUGUUGCUGGUUUUUCUAGAAAAUGCGAGAAGCGAUGUGGAUGUACCUAGUUUUCGUUCUAGUUGGAAUGAAGAAGGCAAGCCGAUACUGCGUAUGGGACCAGAGAGCAAUGAUUUUGAAGCAAACCCA